GCUUACGGCCAUACCACCCUGAGCAAGGCUGAUCUCGUCUGAUCUCGAAAGCUAAGCAGAGUCAGGCCUGGUUAGUACUUGGAUGGGAGACCCCCUGGGAAUACCAGGUAAUCUAAGCU
rnacentral:rRNA from 1 species